rnacentral:rRNA from 1 species
CAACGCGAAGAACCUUACCUGGGCUUGACAUGUACGUAGUAGUGAAGGGAAACCGGAACGAGCCUUCGGGCAGCGUAGACAGGUGCUGCAUGGCUGUCGUCAGCUCGUGUUGUGAAAUGUUGGAUUAAGUCCCGCAACGAGCGCAACCCUUAUCCUUUGUUGCCAGCGGUCCGGCCGGGAACUCAAAGGAGACUGCCAGUGAUAAACUGGAGGAAGGUGGGGAUGACGUCAAGUCAUCAUGGCCCUUACGACCAGGGCUACACACGUGCUACAAUGGCGCAUACAAAGAGAAGCGACCUCGCGAGAGCAAGCGGACCUCAUAAAGUGCGUCGUAGUCCGGAUUGGAGUCUGCAACUCGACUCCAUGAAGUCGGAAUCGCUAGUAAUCGUGGAUCAGAAUGCCACGGUGAAUACGUUCCCGGGCCUUGUACACAC